rnacentral:rRNA from 1 species
GAGAUGGCCGCAACGUGGUCGACUACUACCUGAACACGAUCCGUUCCGGUUACUUCUAAUCCCAUAUUCCCAUUUCCACACAAGACACAACACCUGUUUAAACUAAUCCACUUCCGCCUCCACCUCCGCUUCGGGUUCCACUUCCGCUCGUAGCUUCAGCCUUCAGAUCUCCGCUUGCAUCUCAGUCUAGCCAGGGGGAGAGAGAUGAGCGAAGCGGAGGCGCCUCUCAUCACCGAGGAGGCGGCGGAGCGCGGCCUGGCGUCCUCCGGCAGUCGCCGCCUCAGCGACGGGGCCGGCGGGCAGGGCUCCAGGAAGUACCGCAGGCGGUCGGACGCGCUAGCCCAUGGCGACCGUUACCAGAAGGCGGCCGCUCUCGUCGACCUCGCAGAAGAUGGUGUUGGUAUCCCUGAGGAUGUCUUGAAUGAUACGAGGUUCGGGAGGGCAAUGAGUUUCUAUUUUGUGUAUCUCCGGUUGGACUGGCUGUGGUCACUUAACCUGUUUGCUUUGAUUCUUUUGAAUUUUCUCGAGAAGCCUCUAUGGUGCCGGAAAGAUGCUCUACAGGCUUGUGAUCAAAGGGAUCUUUACUUUCUCGGGCAGUUGCCAUACUUCAGCAAAACUGAAUCACUCAUCUACGAGGGGCUUACACUUGUUAUUCUUGUAAUGGAUAUCUUUUGUCCACUUUCUUAUGAAGGCCUAAAUAUUUUCUGGAGGAGCACCACGAAUAAGUUGAAGAUUCUUCUUCUCUUCAUCUUAGCAUGUGACAUACUGGUGUUUGCCUUUAGUUCCCAACCUUUCAGAUUAGCUCCAUACAUCCGCGUAGUGUUUCUAAUCAUGACUAUCAGGGAACUGCGAAUGUGUGCUAUCACACUGGCCGGUCUUAUUGGGACAUACCUCAAUGUUUUGGCUCUCUCUCUGUUGUUCCUCUUAUUUGCAAGCUGGCUAGCUUAUGUAACAUUUGAGGAUACUCCACAAGGGAAGACCAUUUUUUCAUCAUAUGGUGUAACGCUGUAUCAGAUGUUUGUCCUCUUCACCACCUCCAAUAAUCCUGAUGUAUGGGUGCCUGCUUACAAGAUAUCCCGCUGGUAUUCCCUAUUUUUCAUCGUCUACGUGCUUUUGGGAGUUUACUUCCUGACAAAUUUGAUUCUUGCUGUCAUCUAUGAUAGCUUUAAGGAGCAGGUGGACUCUAUCAGGAAAAAUAUAUUACAGAAGGCAUUUGAUCUUAUUGAUACCAACAAUCGGGGUUAUCUCGACAGGGAACAGUGCAUAUCAUUGCUUAAUGAGCUGAACAAGUACAGGUCCUUACCAAAAACCUCAAGGGAAGAUUUUGAAUUAAUUUUUGCCGAGCUUGAUCGAAGUGGUGAUUUCAAGGUUACCUCCGAAGAAUUUGCUGACCUAUGCAAUACCAUUGCAAUAAAAUUUCAGAAAGAACCACCGCCGUCUUAUCUGGAAAAGUUCCCAUUCUACCAUUCACCACUUUGUGGGAGGUUGAAAUCUUUUGUGCGGAGCCGGGUGUUUGAGUUCAUUAUUAUUUUCGUUCUUCUGGUAAACCUAGUUGCCGUCAUUAUCGAAACAACGCUUGAUAUAGAAAACAGCUCCUCACAGGAAACGUGGCAGGAAGUAGAGUUCUUUCUUGGAUGGAUUUAUGUAGCCGAGAUGGCACUGAAAAUAUUUUCAUUAGGAUUUGGUGCUUAUUGGAUGGAAGGCCAAAACAAAUUUGAUUUUGUGCUUACUUGGACUAUAUUUAUUGGAGAGACUCUAACAUUUGCCUUCCCGUCAAAGCUUCCCUUUCUUUCAAAUGGAGAAUGGAUUCGAUAUCUUCUCCUUGGAAGGGUGUUGCGCUUAACAAGAAUUUUGCUGCAAGUUCAACGUUUCAGAGCAUUUGUUGCAACAUUCUUUACCCUGAUGUCUAGUUUGAUGCCAUAUUUGGGGAUAGUAUUCUGUGUUCUUUGCAUGUACUGCUCCCUUGGUUUGCAGAUUUUUGGGGGCAUCGUGUAUGCUGGAAACCCAACACUAGAAGAAACGGACCUCUUCAAUAAUGAUUAUCUUCUUUUUAACUUCAAUGACUAUCCAAGUGGUAUGGUUACUCUGUUCAAUUUGUUAGUGAUGGGCAAUUGGCAAGUAUGGAUGGAGAGUUAUUGGCAACUGACUGGAAAUUCUUGGAGCCUGAUUUAUUUUGUCAGCUUUUACCUUAUUUCAAUAUUACUACUGCUUAAUCUGAUUGUAGCAUUUGUGUUGGAGGCAUUUUUUGCUGAGAUGGAACUGGAGAAAGGUGAAGAGGUUGAUAUCCAGAAUCCUACGUCUGGAGGAAUAAAGAAACGCCGGUCUAUGCGUGUGAGGUCAAAGGGUACGAUGGUUGAUAUUCUUCUGCACCAUAUGCUGAGCAAUGAACUUGAUGGAUCUCAAAACUCUUGAACAAUGACUGGAUGGAAGCAAGAAAAUACACGGACGCUUCCUGGUGAAAGUACAUGAAUGAUUACAGCCAGUAUAUUCCCAAGCAUGGAGUAUGUUGCAGCCGCGAUAAAUUUCUGAGUAGUGCUGUAACGGACUCGAUUUACUUCCUCUUUCAGUAUCAAGAAAUACAUCGAAUAUGCGUAUUUGUAUCCGGUCGAUUUGAUACUGCUCUCUGUCAGGCUGAUAAGAGUUUGGUAGAGUUUUAUAUACACUCCGUCUCAGUCAACAUACCAACAAGCAACUAAAGAAGAGUUCAAGUCACCACUUCAAAGUGUAGUCAGCAACUUGUAUAAAGCAAAAGGAACUGUACUGGAAAUCAAUAUGAUACUACAGGCUCUGGUGCUUUUUUCUGUAACUAAUCUUAUAUCAGUUGAAAUACUAUCAAUAUAUGACACUACAGGCUCUGGUACAUUUUUCUGUAACUGGUCUUAUAUCAGUUGAAAUACUGGGCAUUUUGUUGACCUCCUAUUUCCAUGUUAACACAUUCCUCCAGAUUUAGAGGAAAAUGAACAUCUGGUUGGGCCU